AGUGGUGGAAUUAGUUUAAAACAGUCACCUUACACUUUAGUUGUCCUCUCUAAAUUAGAUUUAAGGUUUUUAAAAUGAUUAGUGUUAAUUAAGCGCUAUUGUUAUUUUAGCGCUUAAAAUAACAAUAGAUAUAAGGGGAUAGGAGUUCAACUUUAAAAAUGCGCAGGAUCAUUCUAAGAAGAGUGAGAGGGCUAAUGAGCCAGCACCAUACUUCCUCUCUGCGUUUUCUUGACCUGGAUCUGAUCUUGAAAAACUCUAUUCAGGAAAGUCUGAACCAAAUAAGAAUUGGAAUAUUAGAGAGGAUUAACUCUUUUGGUGGAACCGCAUAUGAUUAAUUCCCUGUGGAAAGUGAUGAAGUUUGCGGCGUAAGCCAGCCAUCAGUGUACCAUCACGACGACAUAUCUAUACAGCGUGAAAACCUCCCCUCUCUGGAGUUUACAUACAGCCUACCUUCUGCGACAAGUGCUGAUCUAAGUUUGAUCUUCAGUGAUCCUCUCACUCAGAGAGCCAGACAGACUAGUCCCCCUGUAACACCCCCCUUCAACAGGUCUGAUGCUAACCCCCAACACAACUAAGGAAUUUGUUUUCUUUUAAGGGCCUAGGCAGAUUUUGGCUUUUUUCUCUUGCCAAGAUACUUUUAGACACACUUUGAGGUAUGCAAAACCUUAAAACUAGAAAAUGAAGUACAUUGUCUGAUUAGAAUUUUUUCUCUAAAAGGCAAGUUUGUGAUUUUAACACUUUUUACUGACACUCAACAGA